rnacentral:rRNA from 1 species
CCUACGGGAGGCAGCAGUGGGGAAUAUUGCACAAUGGGCGAAAGCCUGAUCCAGCAACGCAGCGUGAAGGAAGACGGCUUUCGGAUUGUAAACCUCUGUUCUUAGUGAAGAAAAAUGACGGUAACUAAUGAGCAAGCCACGGCUAACUACGUGCCAGCAGCCGAGGUAAUACGGAGGUGGCAAGCGUUUUCCGGAAUUACUGGGUGUAAAGGGAGCGUAGGCGGGUAGCCAAGUCAGCUGUGAAAACUACGGGCUUAACCUGUAGACUGCAGUUGAAACUGGCAUUCUUGAGUGAAGUAGAGGUUGGCGGAAUUCGGAGUGUAGCGGUGAAAUGCGUAGAUAUUCGGAGGAACACCGGUGGCGAAGGCGGCCAACUGGGCUUUAACUGACGCUGAGGCUCGAAAGUGUGGGGAGCAAACAGGAUUAGAUACCCGUGUAGUC